rnacentral:lncRNA from 1 species
AGGAUUGUUGAUAGAUGUUCAAGUCUGCUGGAGGUCAGCAUUGUGAUGUGAUGUCUUUACUGACAGGAAGACACAGAGGACACGCAGCACUGACCCACAUCAGCAGUGUUCAAAGGAAGAUGUUCCAGAAACAUUUUACUGACAAGGAGCCAGUGAGUAUUUUGACCUGGAACAAAUCAGUGAUAUUUCAUUUGUUACAAGUAUGACUCUGUUUAGGUGGUGAAAGCUGUCCUGGGGAUGGUGGCUGGAGGAAGCCUACACCUGCACAGACAUGGAGCCCGGUCAGAGGAGGACAUCACCCCCCAGUCCUGUUCCCAGGAGAGGCUGAAGCACCAUGUGUUCCACAGUGGAGCCUGGUCAGGAGCUCUGGUUCUGUGGGACGACACCAACUGAUAAACUGCCUCAACAACCGCUGUCAGCAGCUGUUUGGAGACUGUAGAGCAGAAGGUCUGGUCCUGUUUGAAGGCCUUCUUGCUUCUGGAUGCCGUCCUGCCUCUCAGGCCUCGGUCUGUUUCAAACCUGCAGAGGAACGGGAGCCUGGAGUGCAGCAGUGAUGAUGAGCAUGUGGCUAACCGCUCAAGACGCCCUGUGGACCGUCAGAGACCAGCUGGAAAGGAGGAACAUGAAGACCCUCCAGAUGGAUGCAGCUGUAGACCAAGGAGCCACAAAGAGGGAUGGCCUCUGCUCGUUCUGAGGAUGGAGCCGGAGCCACUCGGGGAGAGGUCGGAGCAGCAGCAGCGCCGCUCUCCAGGUGCUACAGACCAGGACCACGGCCUCUUGACUGGCAGUGUUCCUCCAGCCCACAUCAUCCUGUGCAGUUCACACCCCCAACCAGUAGGUGGCAGCAGUCAGAGGACAGUCAGUUGUCCACCACGAGUUAACAAAGGAACAGGAAGUGGCUGCACAGGGAGCAGAGAACAUGUGGGUUUGUGUGUUUUUUCCUCUUUUCUCUGA